GGUCCCUUAGCUCAGUUGGUUAGAGCGUGGUGCUAAUAUCGAGGAUGAUAUACUCGCUAUGUAGUGGAGAACAUGUAGCAAUACUUACUAACGCCAAGGUCGCAGGUUCGACCCCUGCAGGGACCA